rnacentral:rRNA from 1 species
UACAAAGGGUGCGAGCGUUAAUCGGAAUUACUGGGCGUAAAGCGCGCGUAGGCGGCUUUUCAAGCCGAUUGUGAAAUCCCCGGGCUUAACCUGGGAACUGCAGUCGGGACUGUCUAGCUAGAGUAUGGGAGAGGGAAGUGGAAUUUCAGGUGUAGCGGUGAAAUGCGUAGAUAUCUGAAGGAACAUCAGUGGCGAAAGCGACUUCCUGGACCAAUACUGACGCUCAUGUGCGAAAGCGUGGGGAGCAAACAGG